ACAGGUUUUUUUCCGAUUCUGCCCGACGGAAACGCGACUGAAUCGAGAGUAGAAAAAUUUCAACUUUUCUGCUUCCGCCAGCGGAUUCCGCAUUCUAACAGCCAAUAGGAGCUCGACUUCAGAUUGUAAACAUUAGCAAUGGCGGCCACCGAAGUUGAACGUAUGCUGUAUCAUCAAUUUUUUUAAUGGAAGAAUUAAAGAAAUAUUUUUGCUGUUAUUAACAACGAGAAGAAAGUAGCGAUAAGAUGCGCUAUCCUUGGGACAAAAUGUGGCAUUUGCGCUCCAGAAGCACAGAAAAAGGAGGUGAAAAGAAAAAAACAAUAGAGGGAAACUUUACCAGAUGAAUUGGUGGAUGAUGAAUUUAAUACUGGACUGGAUUUAUACUUCUACGAAAGUACAAGAUCGAGCAAACACAUUAAAGAAGGAUUGGCGGAUUAAUGCUGAUGCAGGAAUGACUUAAGUAGAACUGCCAUUUUGCUGUCAAGAAAGCAAAGGAGAAUGUUUAGUUAAAGAUGAUCCCAUUUCAAGAAUUUUCUAGUUAAAUCUAAAUUCCUUUCAGGGAGAAAAAAAAAUAUUAAAGCAAUGUCUGACAUUGAACUUUUAAUACAGCAGAAUAAAUUGAGUUAAAAUAUG